ensembl:lncRNA
UCAAUGAGGAAAAUGAAUCUUUAUUUUUUUUCUCUAAAAGCAGUAUCCAUGUACAUGUUUUUUUUUAUAUGGUUUAGUGGUGGUUUUAAGAUGUGAAUAGUCACAUCACAGAAACAAUACACAACAACCAAUGAAGGAAUGAAGAGCUAAUUUGACAAUUGCUUUAUCAAGUAGCCCAAACAUUAUUUUUAGCUAAUGGCUUUGCCACAGUGGACUUCAGGACAAUAUUAAAAUCUCACGUACUCAACACAAAAUACAGAGAUAACAACUGGGAAAAGAGCUACAAAAUACAAUUAUUGCUGUUGUAUCUGCAUUGCUUCCUUGCAGGAUACUCUAUUGUAUGCUGGGAAAGCAGUUCUUGAAUUUCAGUUUCAUUAAGAAUGUCAUUUAGAUAAAUAAAAAGUAACGAACCAGCCAAUCUCACAUGGUUAAUUUAUCUGACACCAAAAGAAAAUGGGUUGUUCUACAAAAAAAAAAAAAAAAAAAAAGCAGAGAGGUUUUGUUUUAUAAGGCAAAGAGUAGAUUGUUAUACUUUGAAAAAGAGAGGAUGGAUGUGCUUAAACAUCUAAGUAAAUUUGGUUUGUAGGUGUUCCCAAAGCCUGCAAAGGGCAAUCCUGGCCAAAUGACCUGUCAGCACCAGUGAGAUCUCCCCUAUGCUUGGGAGGAGGUGGCUCUCCAGCUGUGUUCCUCAAGGUCCCAGCCCAGCUACACUUACACACACGCCAGUCUGACCCCAGGUAUUCCCUCACACCACUAAACCAGCCCACACCUCUGCCUCUGCUGAAGUCAGGUGUAAGUGUUGAUGCCCUCCCACAGCUAUUGAGUGUGAGAGGGAAUGAGAAACUAUUGCAGUCAUUUAGCUUAAAGGGUAGACAGAGUAAUAAACACUCCAAGACCAAGUUAUGACAACCCUUUUAAGACCGGAAGAUGGAAAAUUUUUCAAGCACACUGAUAACUAUGAACCACACAUGGUAUUUGGUAGUGCCUCUACAAACAUCUGUGAGAGACCUGAUGUGCACCAGCACAUUCCCUGGGCUGCAUGGCAAGGAAAACCCAGCACUCUGCAGUGUUGCUUCCCUUGCAAAUGUGCAUUUCCGUGUGACUGGGUGCCUAGGCCAGCAGCUUCUCAUGAAACCUUGAGAAAUAUAUUCUAGAACAUCUAAAGGUGAAAUUUGAACAUCUCUCGUGUUACUGAGCAAAGGUUAGCUGGAAAAAACAUUUAAUACAGGUGAUUCUAGGUUUAGUCUAUGAUUAGUCUAAACAAUGUGCCCAAACAUAUUUAAUUUGCACAAAAUUCUUAAACAAUGCCUCUCUAAAAUUUACAAAAUAUAUAAAAUAUGUGAUUUGACAUUUAUAAAACCUCAGCCCUUUUACAGAAAACAAGGCCGUAGAAUUUUAAGUCUACUGGUUUUUCUUCUCAGCAGUUUUAGUUCCUAUGAUAAAAAAACUUCAAACAAACAGCAGUCCACCAUGGCCUUACAAUGCAAGGAAUAAAUUAGCAAGUCACACUGUAAAUAAAAAUAAAUAAUUUCUAUUUUUUUUAAUGGUCUUUUUAAUUGCACAGUGUUUUAAAUUUUCAGUAGCAAUGGAAAGUCAGUUGGGUAUUUUUCUAAAUGCUCCACAGAGCAGGAAAGCAUUAUGUCUCAUUUUUUCAAACUUUACACAUUGAAAAUACCUUGGUUGAACCAUCAACUGAUAAAACUGGUGAAUGUUUUGGUAGUCUCUUACUGUGGCAAGAUGGUGCAGCAUCUCUCACCCAAGGCAUUCAGUCCUCCGGUGCUCACCCUGCUGGGCAAACGCCCCCAGUGUUCCCUUCCACGUGAGGUACUCUGGCAGCUUUGAUAUUUUUGGGAAGGUGUUCACCGUCAGCUACAACUUUCACAGCAGAAGUUCAUCACCAUCUCAGCUACAGUCUGCACCCGCUGAGACUGCAGGAGUCUCCUUGAGGUUUUUCCCCAGCCUGGCACGCCUUCUCUUUUCAGGGCAUCACACCAACACAUCAGGCUUUGGGCUCUCCCAGAGCUACUCUGCAGUGGAGGACCAAGCUACAAUUCAGACUACCAAAGAAAAUGGGACACCUGGGAAGGUAUGAUCUUACCUCAGACCAUUAGCAGUAUCUUAAACCCACUUACCAAAUAUAUGUGUAUAUAUAUACAAAUAUAUACAUAUACACACAUAUAUAUAUAUACAUACACACAUAUAUAUAUAUGAAACCCACAUAUUUGAAAAAAUAAAAAACAACGAAGUGAUUAAUACUGUCAUAGGCUGGGUAUGUUUAGCUCAAGUUAGUUAUCUACAGAACAUACUUAAAAACUCUUAAAUAUUUGUGACAUGUUGUAUUGAAAACAGUUGUGGGGAGAUGCGUAAUGUAUGUGCAUUAGAAAUACUGUAUAGCUAUAUACUAUUACUGAUGCAGUUAUAACAGCUUGGGAUUUUAUCUAAAAGUUACAGAGUUUCUGCUAGGUAUCAAACAACUCUCAAGUACUGAAGACAAAGGGAAGUUUUGCCCUCUUCUUAGUUGAGGGACAGCUCAAAUUUUAAGGUACUAAAUCCUUCAUUGCAUCUCUGGCACUCAGCUGGGGCCAAGACAGCAUCACUGAAGUACCUCUGCUAUUUAAGGAUCAUGGCAGGUUACAGCUCAGUUAUUUGCAUCAAUGCAAUUACAUAGAUAAAGGUAGUACCACUGCAUCCAUGUUUGUUACUGGUGUACUCUUUAGGAGCUGUUAAAUAUACAGACUGAUCUCAUCAUGGAGAUGUUCACACACAAUUCCUCCAUCUGUUACCACAGCAAAACAAAAGUAAGUAUCAAGGCAAACAUUUUGUCCACAAUAAAUUUCCUUUACCGAACAUAAGUGAGUCUAAGGGGAACUAGCACAUCAUUGCACAACAUUAAUAUCCACCAAAUUACUCCUGCUCUUGUAUUUUUAAAGCAUUUUCAGUGCUUGGGUGCAUAGCACAGAACCUAUCACAAGAACACCCUAGCGAUCACCACCCUUUGGGAUUUCAGUACUGCCCUGGCUGUAUGUGGAGGCAAUGGACACAGAUAACUCAGGCCUGGGCAGUGCAGCACCUCACACUGGUAUCUCAGUUGCUGAGCCCCUGCUCUAGGCCAGACUGUUACAUGUGCAUGGCAGGAGCAUCCUGGUGCCCACAUCACAGGAAAAACCACAUUUCAGUUCAUGCUUAAAGGAAUAUACACAUUUCAGUUCAUGCUUAAAGGAAUUCAACUUUUGGCAGAAGUAAAUACCUACAUAAAAAUAAAUGUAGAAACCUAUUAAAACCACAAACACAAUAAUUGCAUUAUUAAAACAGCUGCAUCUACACUAUGGUGUAGUACUUCAGUGUAAUUCAGUUUAACCAAAUCUUAGCGUACAACUAAGAUGAGACCCAUUUCCCAGUCCAAACCUCAGUGUCAGCACUGCACCAAUCUCUACAUUCAAAUAUGCUCUACGGAUGGCGACCAACCAAAUCCAGGGAAAAACUGUUGCCACAGAUGAAGAGGUCUUCUCCCUAAACAGACAAUGCAGGACAGAUGUGUGUAGAGCCCCUCUGGCCAUGCCACGGGAACAGGCAAUGGCAGAACCUGCAGCGCUCUGGCAGUGGAAGCUGCAGGAGCACCACGUCCUGAAUUGGUUUGCUGAACAUGGUUCAGAUUAUUGGAUAAGUCUAUAGCACAAUGCUCUUUAGAAGCAUUUACUGUAUACCCAAACCCUACUUGCUGCAACACAUGGUGUCACACAAGUAGUGAAAACGUCUUCGUAUUCAAAGGUGCUUGGACAUAAUUUUCAGGCAGCAUUUUACCUUUAUUUUAGUGAGUUCCCACUACAAAGAUUUUAGAAGUAAGAAGAUGCCAAUAGUCUAUUUUUUCGUUUUAGUAUGUGAAAUUGAGAGAGACACCUAAAUAAAUACCUACUUUUACUUGCCUAAAUCUAUUCUAUGUCUGAAAUCUCUAAUUUUUAAAUAAGGGAUAAAAUGUUGCCCAAAAGACUAGUUAUAAUUUUACAUUUGUGUUUCUAAUCUACAAAUCAAAAUAGUUCUCAGUUAAAAAGAUACAAUUUGUAUCAACAGUAAAAGGUACUUUCUGGUUCUUCAGGGCCUUACUUAAAACUCCAGCAAUUGUAACAAAAUUAUCAGCUGUAAUAGUGUAAACGAGUGACAUUUUUUUUAACACUGAACAUCAUUACAAUAGAUGGAAGCCUAAAACUGUCGGCAACUGAUCAUGUCAUGGAAGUACAUCUGACAUCAAUUGCAAAAACUAUUUAUAUUUUUAAUAUAUAUAGAUAUAUAAAAGCUUAAGAGGUGCUAGUAAAACCCAUGACUUUAAACCAGAAAUAUCCCUUACUAAUGCUAAAACAGACUUGGCUUGUCUGUUUCUAAACCUACACUAUUUGUGGCAAGAAUCAGGCCUACACAAUGCAAAAAGCAAAAAAACUCCAGGAACACAUAUGGUAUCUUCUCUCCCCAUGACCCUCCCCUCCCAAAAAAAAAAAAAAAAAAAAAAA